rnacentral:lncRNA from 1 species
AUGGUUUUCUAUCUGCUUCCCCUUAGCCACAAGAUGCUGAUCUCCAAGCAGACACAUCAUCUCUGCAUAUCUCUGCUCCCCAGCCAGACAGUGACCUAUUUCAGAAGUCAAACUGAGAUCAAAUGUUACUUUCUGGUUCAUGGGUUUAAAAAAAAAAUGAAUCACAAGAGGACUAGAGGAAAGACAUGUUCAUCCUGCACACUGCUGUGUCCACAGGAGAGGACCAGAAAUGUAUACAGCACUCAGGAUACGCCACGGACCAAUCAUCAGUUAUUUGAGUGGCAGCUGUCUGUACUGAUUAACACUAAUUUCAAGCUCUCUUUUAUCUUUAAAAACUCAAGUUCAGCUUCAGAUUCCCUGUAAAUCAAUGAGACACAUUUGGGGUUUUCAAACCCUUGCUACUUGCCUACCAACUUCGUUAUACUCCAAGAGUUAAAGCCCGGAUCUGCAAAUUUUGAAAAAGAUGUACAGAUAUGAGGUACUUCAGACACAAUUUUUACUUCACACUUGCUAAUUGGAGGCAAGGCAAAGCUACACGUGGUGGUUUCAGCUGAGUGAUCCGCUUUCUGCAGGAUUUGUCCAGCAGCACGAUGAGCUGGGGUGAGUGGCUAAUGCAGCGGGAGAAAGGAGGACUUUUCUGGCUGGUUUUUCAGGCAGUAAACCCUGAACAGCCCCACAACAGGUGCAGCAGAGCAGGAUCAGCAUGGGCAAGCUGGCACCAGCCCCGCUGCACAGCCUGACUUCACCCCUAAGGAGGCUUUGGGUCCCCAAGAGAUGCAGGGACUCUGCUGAGGGGUUGCAUGCUGCCUGGCCAUAGCCAGGUGCUGUGUCCGAACAACCUCUUGUCUCUAGCAGAUUUGCAGCACACGGAUGGACCUACAAACCCUGGCCCUGUUGAACCUACAACGGAUGGCCCUGUUGAACCUACAAACACUCUGCCGGAUUGUAGAGCUGCUGUUGUUGAGCAGAACUCUAAUUAACCUAGCAAAUGCAAUGACAAAUAAUAAAGCUUCAGUGUCCUCUGGCUUAUUUGCUACU